GCAGAUCAACUACCUGGGUAUGGCCAUACCGAUCGCGCAAAGAAAGAAAGGCGCUAUUGUGCAAUAAACGAUCGAUAGCAGGAAGCUGGCUGUAGAGUGUACGCGUUUCGCUUGUCAUGAAAAUGCCUGGCUGUUGGUGGCCCUCUCCUGGUGGGAGAGGGAUAUCGACAUAAGGGGGAUUGUAACGUGAGUUUGCUCAGGCGGACAUAAUGCGCGUCAAGCCUUUGGCGCUUCGGUGCGGGCAAAGCUUUCGCGUUGAAAAAGCGUUUCGACCAGUUUGACCAGGUGGGGGCGGCUAACACACCAG
rnacentral:misc_RNA from 1 species